rnacentral:RNase_P_RNA from 1 species
GUAAGUCAAGCAGCCGCGGGCACAAGGCGAAAGCCUGUGCGUGAGGAAAGUCCGGGCUCCACAGGGCAAGGAUAACGGGUAACGCCCGCCGGGGGUGACCCCAGGACAAGUGCAACAGAGAUAUACCGCCUGCUUUGCAGGUAAGGGUGGAAAGGCGAGGUAAGAGCUCACCCACCGUCCGGAGACGGAACGGUGCUGUAAACUCUAUCCGGAGCAACGCCGUGGAGGGACAUACGACCGGCCCGGUCGUCCCAUGGAGGCGGCUGGAACGCAUCGGCAACGGUGCGUCUAGAUAGAUGGCUGCGCAGACAGAACCCGGCUUACAGACUUACUCGU